rnacentral:rRNA from 1 species
AUUACUGGGCGUAAAGCGUGCGCAGGCGGUGAUGUAAGUCCGAUGUGAAAUCCCCGGGCUCAACCUGGGAACUGCAUUGGUGACUGCAUCGCUUGAGUAUGGCAGAGGGGGGUAGAAUUCCACGUGUAGCAGUGAAAUGCGUAGAGAUGUGGAGGAAUACCGAUGGCGAAGGCAGCCCCCUGGGCCAAUACUGACGCUCAUGCACGAAAGCAUGGGGAGCAAACAGGAUUAA